GCCGGCACACACUACACACUACACUACAUAUACUCAAGAUAGAAAAUUCUCUUUGUGCGUAGCUAGCUCUAGGCAUUACCAAUGACAUCACCCAAGCAUGCCUUCGGUUCCUACGGUAUCGUGGCCUUGCUCUUCUUCUCCUCGGCCAUUGUUUCAGCGGAUCUUUCCGCUGAAUUCUACGACGAAACCUGCCCGGACGCUCUGGACAUCAUCGAGGACGCCGUGAGAGCCGCCGUCUCCAAAGAAUCCCGCAUGGGCGCGUCGCUGCUCCGCCUCCAUUUCCACGACUGCUUCGUCAAUGCAAGUGUCUUCUUCAUACGCUCGUCGCCUUCAUACGAUUUCUCUUUCCGGCAGGACUAACCAUUGACCCGUGGACGUGUACAGGGCUGUGACGGAUCAGUGCUGCUCGAUGGCGCCACCGGCGAGAAGAAUGCGGUGCCAAACAAGAACUCCCUUCGCGGCUUCGAGCUGGUCGACGACAUCAAGGCGCAGCUCGAGAAAGCCUGCGCCAAGGUGGUGUCCUGCGCCGACAUCCUCGCCGUCGCCGCCCGUGACUCCGUCGUCGCGCUGGGCGGGCCUACGUGGGACGUGGAGCUAGGCCGGAGGGACGGGACGACGACGAGCCAGGACACAGCGAACAGCGACCUCCCGGCGCCGACCUCCGACCUCGGCGCCCUGACCAAGGCAUUCUCGAUCAAGGGCCUCACCCAGAAGGACAUGGUGGCGCUCUCCGGCGCGCACACCAUCGGACAGGCGCGGUGCGUCAACUUCCGCGGCCGCCUCUAUAACGAGACCGCGCCCAGCCUCGACGCGACGCUCGCCACGUCGCUGAAGCCAAGGUGCCCAUCCACGGACGGCACCGGCGACGACAACACCUCGCCGCUGGACCCCUCCACGUCCUACGUGUUCGACAACUUCUACUACAAGAACCUCCUGCGGAACAAGGGCCUGCUGCACUCGGACCAGCAGCUGUUCAGCGGUGGCGGCUCGGCUGACGCGCAGACCACCGCCUACGCGUCCGGCAUGGGCGCCGGCUUCUUCGACGACUUCCGUGACGCCAUGGUGAAGAUGGGCGGCAUCGGCGUGCUCACCGGAUCCAGCGGGCAGGUCAGGGUGAACUGCAGGAAGGCCAACUGAAGUAGAGUCAACUGUGCCAGGCUUCUCACUAUGGUGAUCAUGUCAAUUGUCAUAUUGUGUGUGUGAUGAUGAGCUCUGCUUCCAACGGUUGCAGUACUACAAAUACAAUGAUAACAAACAAGGAAUAAUAAGAUCA